rnacentral:rRNA from 1 species
CCUACGGGUGGCAGCAGUGAGGAAUAUUGGUCAAUGGACGAGAGUCUGAACCAGCCAAGUAGCGUGAAGGAUGACUGCCCUAUGGGUUGUAAACUUCUUUUAUAUGGGAAUAAAACGUUCCACGUGUGGGAUUUUGUAUGUACCAUAUGAAUAAGGAUCGGCUAACUCCGUGCCAGCAGCCGCGGUAAUACGGAGGAUCCGAGCGUUAUCCGGAUUUAUUGGGUUUAAAGGGAGCGUAGGUGGUUUGUUAAGUCAGUUGUGAAAGUUUGCGGCUCAACCGUAAAAUUGCAGUUGAAACUGGCAGUCUUGAGUACAGUAGAGGUGGGCGGAAUUCGUGGUGUAGCGGUGAAAUGCUUAGAUAUCACGAAGAACUCCGAUUGCGAAGGCAGUUCACUGGACUGCAACUGACACUGAGGCUCGAAAGUGUGGGUAUCAAACAGGAUUAGAUUCCCCAGUAGUC